GGCAUCCCACUCAAUCUUGCCUCUUUUGGUGGUGGAGACUCCAUCACUAAAUCAUAUUGUUAAAUGUUUACAGUCAAUUCCUAUUAAUCCUAGAAUGGUUUAUAAAUUGCUUAAACUUCUUCUUCCUCCGCCCACAAAUUCCUAAAUCUAGAUAAGUUUUUACUCUCUAGUUGGAAAAGUAAAAGCUGAAGAAUCAUGAAGUUUAUAGCACUUGCUCUAGUCUUGUUGAUGGUGAGCACUUGUAUGGCCACAACUCAGAGAACGUUGAUGGCUGAAGUGCAGCAGCAGCAGCCAGAGAAGGGCCAGAAUGGUGAAGUUGAAGGCCAAGUAAACGAUAUGAAUCACCAUACCAUUCCUAGACAGGACUUUGAAGGCUAUAAUGGCGGUGGGGCAGUUAAACCGUAGUGUAACUAGUUCAAUGAUGAUGCUUGCUAUGUAUAUAAUAUAUAGGUUAAAUAAUCCUUGAGCUAGACCAAGCAAAAAAGGAAAGAAAAACGUAAAGUCAUGCUAUAGAUGCAUGGCAUAAGUUGUAUGCGGUUUGGGUUUUUAACCUAUAAUUGUUACCUAUUGCAUGGUGUAGCGUACGUAUGUUUCUGUGGUAUAAUAAUCAUAGACUAUGUUUGGAGUGUGUAUUUGUUGUGUGAUUGUAAUUAAUCAUAUGUAAUUGAAAGUAAUUUGUAUUA